rnacentral:rRNA from 1 species
AGGGAGCAAGCGUUAUCCGGAUUUAUUGGGUGUAAAGGGUGCGUAGACGGAUAAUCAAGUUGGUUGUGAAAUCCCUCGGCUUAACUGAGGAAUUGCAACCAAAACUGGUAAUCUUGAGUACUGGAGGGGAAAGCGGAAUUCCUAGUGUAGCGGUGAAAUGCGUAGAUAUUAGGAAGAACACCGGUGGCGAAGGCGGCUUUCUGGGCAGAAACUGACGUUGAGGCACGAAAGUGUGGGGAGCAA